AACGAACGCUGGCGGCGUGCCUAACACAUGCAAGUCGUGCGAGAAAGUUCCUUCGGGAGCGAGUAAAGCGGCGCACGGGUGAGUAACACGUAGGUAACCUGCCCCCCAGUCUGGAACAACUAGAGGAAACUCUAGCUAAUGCCGGAUGAGACCACGAUCCCUUCGGGGGUUGCGGCCAAAGAUGGCCUCUACUUGUAAGCUAUCGCUGAGGGAUGGGCCUGCGGGCCAUUAGCUUGUUGGUGAGGUAACGGCUCACCAAGGCUGUGAUGGCUAGCUGGUCUGAGAGGAUGACCAGCCACACUGGGACUGAGACACGGCCCAGACUCCUACGGGAGGCAGCAGUGGGGAAUAUUGCGCGAUGGGCGAAAGGCCUGACGCAGCGACGCCGCGUGGGUGAUGAAGGCCUUCGGGUCGGUAA
rnacentral:rRNA from 1 species